UACGCAGGGGGCUAGCGUUGCUCGGAAUCACUGGGCGUAAAGGGUGCGUAGGCGGGUCUUUAAGUCAGGGGGGAAAUCCUGGAGCUCAACUCCAGAACUGCCCUUGAUACUGAAGAUCUUGAGUCCGGGAGAGGUGAGUGGAACUGCGAGUGUAGAGGUGAAAUUCGUAGAUAUUCGCAAGAACACCAGUGGCGAAGGCGGCUCACUGGCCCGGUACUGACGCUGAGGCACGAAAGCGUGGGGAGCAAACAGG
rnacentral:rRNA from 1 species